CGCUGGCGGCGUGCUUACACAUGCAAGUCGAGCGGAAAGGCCCUUCGGGGUACUCGAGCGGCGAACGGGUGAGUAACACGUGAGCAAUCUGCCCUUAGCUUCGGGAUAGCUCCGGGAAACCGGAAUUAAUACCGGAUAUGACCACGGCCGACAUCAGCUGUGGUGGAAAGAUUUAUCGGCUAAGGAUGAGCUCGCGGCCUAUCAGCUUGUUGGUGGGGUAACGGCCUACCAAGGCGACGACGGGUAGCCGGCCUGAGAGGGCGACCGGCCACACUGGGACUGAGACACGGCCCAGACUCCUACGGGAGGCAGCAGUGGGGAAUAUUGCGCAAUGGGCGAAAGCCUGACGCAGCGACGCCGCGUGCGGGAUGAAGGCCUUCGGGUUGUAAACCGCUUUCAGCAGGGACGAAGCGAAAGUGACGGUACCUGCAGAAGAAGCGCCGGCCAACUACGUGCCAGCAGCCGCGGUAACACGUAUGGCGCGAGCGUUGUCCGGAAUUAUUGGGCGUAAAGAGCUCGUANGUGGUCCGCUACGUCUGCUGUGAAA
rnacentral:rRNA from 1 species